rnacentral:rRNA from 1 species
GUCCGCCCUUCUUCGUAGUACGUGCCUGCGGAGGAUCAUUA